rnacentral:lncRNA from 1 species
AUCCGAUUGCAGUCGAGCGUUGGGCUCUGAUUUUCGUCAUAUUGAAAUGUUGUCUCUUUCUGUCUCCUUCCCUGCGUGCAAAUCUGUUGCGGCCAACUCUCCGUCGUCUGUUGUCGGUAUCGAGCACCUACGAUACAGUAUCCACACAGAUCGGAUUGGUAUCCGACGGAGACCCUCUGAUGCUUAAGUCAGAGGAAGUUGGUGAACAGUAACUUUGAUUGUAUGAAGUAGCAGAGCUUUGACCCAAAAAAGUUGGCUUAUCCGUACUGUUCACUUAUCUUUCUUUUUUAUAGGUGAUUCUGGUGUAACCGUUGAGCAUGUGGUUUCACUUUUUAUGGCGCUAAAUUGUCGGACCAUAAAUAUAGAAUUAGUGAGAUGUUACUUUCUCUUAAUAGCCACGACACGUAGUCGAUAACCGUUUGUGAUGGUUAUGGUAUGUUGAGCAGAUUGCCGACCAUACAUCGGUACAACCGAUUUUAUGUCAACAGAAUUUAUGAGCGACUGUCGGCUAUUAGUUCUGUCAUGCCGAUGGUCUAAGUCGUUCGCUGU